rnacentral:rRNA from 1 species
CAUCAUGCCCCUUAUGAUUUGGGCUACACACGUGCUACAAUGGACAAUACAAAGGGCAGCGAAACCACGAGGUCAAGCAAAUCCCAUAAAGUUGUUCUCAGUUCGGAUUGUAGUCUGCAACUCGACUACAUGAAGCUGGAAUCGCUAGUAAUCGUAGAUCAGCAUGCUACGGUGAAUACGUUCCCGGGUCUUGUACACACCGCCCGUCACACCACGAGAGUUUGUAACACCCGAAGCCGGUGGAGUAACCUUUUAGGAGCUAGCCGUCGAAGGUGGGACAAAUGAUUGGGGUGAAGUCGUAACAAGGUAGCCGUAUCGGAAGGUGCGGCUGGAUCACCUCCUUUCUAAGGA